rnacentral:rRNA from 1 species
CCAGCAGCCGCGGUAAUUCCAGCUCCAAUAGCGUAUAUUUAAGUUGUUGCAGUUAAAAAGCUCGUAGUUGGAUUUCGGGUGGGUUGUAGCGGUCAGCCUUUGGUGAGUACUGCUACGGCCCACCUUUCUGCCGGGGACGUGCUCCUGGGCUUAACUGUCCGGGACACGGAAUCGGCGAGGUUACUUUGAGUAAAUUAGAGUGUUCAAAGCAAGCCUACGCUCUGAAUACAUUAGCAUGGAAUAACACGAUAGGACUCUGGCUUAUCUUGUUGGUCUGUAAGACCGGAGUAAUGAUUAAGAGGGACAGUCGGGGGCAUUCGUAUUUCAUUGUCAGAGGUGAAAUUCUUGGAUUUAUGAAAGACGAACUUCUGCGAAAGCAUUUGCCAAGGAUGUUUUCAUUAAUCAAGAACGAAAGUU